UUGGUAAAGUCACAUCGGGUAAUGUCAUUUGAUGUGGCUGAAAACCACAUCUCUGAUUGCAGACCAAAAGACCAGGCUGACACAGCAACAACGACACGUCGUAGGAUGACCAGAAGACCAGUUGCAGACCCGUGUGCGGACACAAAGAUGCAAGAUGAUGAUGGAUGAGGAGCUCAGAGUGGUCCAGUAGAUAUCAUUGUGGCAGAUGAAAACAGUCUAAAGCUAAGUGUCUCUACAUUGUUAGUGCAGUUGCAGUAAACCUCAAGCUAAUACUAGAUGAAAAGGACUAAGGCUGAUG